rnacentral:rRNA from 1 species
CAAUAGCGUAUAUUAAAGUUGUUGCAGUUAAAAAGCUCGUAGUUGGAUUUGUGGCUGUCACGGGCGGCCUAUCACUUAGUGUUAGUGCUUGCCUGUGUCGCCAUCCUUGGGUGGAGCCCGUGUGGCAUUAGGUUGUCGUGCGGGGGAUGCCCAUCGUUUACUGUGAGAAAAUUAGAGUGUUCAAAGCAGGCUUAUGCCGUUGAAUAUGUUAGCAUGGAGUAAUAAGAUAGGACCUCGGUACUAUUUUGUUGGUUUGCGCACCGAGGUAAUGAUUAAUAGGGACAGUUGGGGGUAUUCGUAUUUCAUUGUCAGAGGUGAAAUUCUUGGAUUUCUGAAAGACGAACUACUGCGAAAGCAUUUACCAAGGAUGUUUUCAUUAA